ACAUCUAGUGAGAUCUGGGAUCCUCCCCUGCGGGUUGAGAGCUGGCAGGGCAAGGGUUGUGUUUCACAAUCCUGGAGACUCACAAGAUGUGGUGACCUCAGAACCGUGCCUAUCUGUAAAGAGCACCGAGGCUUGGCACCCAUCCAGGCUCUAAAGGGCAAGUCCCAGACAGCUCUGUGCAAAUCAUGCCAGGCAGGCCAGAUCCCCUUACAGGCGGUGCAGCUAGCUCGGCGUGGCAUUCAACUAGCAGCACAGGCCGGGCUGCAACUGCUGGCAGGUUCCUUGGAGCAAGCCAAUUCAGGCUCCCUUCACUGCCUGCCCGGUUAUUACCGAUAUCCGAGGAGGGGAAGCCUUUGGAAGCAGAGACAAAGUUAAAGCAUGUGCACUGAAGUUGCUGCUCUGAAGCCCGUAUCCUGCAAUGCAAUGAGCAGCCCAACCCCCUCCAGCCACUGAAAAAAAAAACCCAGCUAGAGCCAACAGGACACGCCACCAUGAAUGGCAGGAAUCCCCCCGAAGGUUAGCAGCUGGCUUUGCAGAAUUAGGCUUCCCACAGCAGCCCCAGAGACAGCCCUCGGUCACGCUACUGCAACGGGCAUGCCGGCAGGGCUGCGGCCGUCUGAAAUGCGCGGGAAUCCUGCUCCUUGGGACCCAAAGGACCUUUUA